CCUACGGGUGGCAGCAGUGGGGAAUAUUGCACCAUGGGGGAAACCCUGAUGCAGCGACGCCGCGUGAGCGAAGAAGUAUUUCGGUAUGUACAGCUCUAUCAGCAGGGAAGAAAAUGACGGUACCUGACUAAUAAGCUCCGGCUAAAUACGUGCCAGCAGCCGCGGUAAUACGUAUGGAGCAAGCGUUAUCCGGAUUUACUGGGUGUAAAGGGAGCGUAGGCGGUAAGGCAAGUCUGAUGUGAAAGGCCAGGGCUCAACCCUGGGACUGCAUUGGAAACUGUUUAGCUGGAGUGUAGGAGAGGCAAGUGGAAUUCCUAGUGUAGCGGUGAAAUGCGUAGAUAUUAGGAGGAACACCAGUGGCGAAGGCGGCUUACUGGACGAUAACUGACGCUGAGGCUCGAAAGCGUGGGGAGCAAACAGGAUUAGAUACCCGAGUAGUC
rnacentral:rRNA from 1 species